AAUAGAUACCCGGUAGUCCACGCCGUAAACGAUGAGUGCUAAGUGUUAGAGGGUUUCCGCCCUUUAGUGCUGCAGCUAACGCAUUAAGCACUCCGCCUGGGGAGUACGGCCGCAAGGCUGAAACUCAAAGGAAUUGACGGGGGCCCGCACAAGCGGUGGAGCAUGUGGUUUAAUUCGAAGCAACGCGAAGAACCUUACCAGGUCUUGACAUCCUCUGCCAACCCUAGAGAUAGGGCGUUCCCCUUCGGGGGACAGAGUGACAGGUGGUGCAUGGUUGUCGUCAGCUCGUGUCGUGAGAUGUUGGGUUAAGUCCCGCAACGAGCGCAACCCUUGAUCUUAGUUGCCAGCAUUUAGUUGGGCACUCUAAGGUGACUGCCGGUGACAAACCGGAGGAAGGUGGGGAUGACGUCAAAUCAUCAUGCCCCUUAUGACCUGGGCUACACACGUGCUACAAUGGAUGGUACAAAGAGCUGCGAACCCGCGAGGGUAAGCGAAUCUCAUAAAGCCAUUCUCAGUUCGGAUUGUAGGCUG
rnacentral:rRNA from 1 species